rnacentral:rRNA from 1 species
AGUGAAUAGAUACCCGGUAGUCCUAGCCAUCAACGAUGGAUACUGGAUAUUCCUGCACUCAUGUGGGAGUGUCGAAGCCAACGCGUUAAGUAUCCCGCCUGGGGAGUACGGUCGCAAGAUUGAAACUCAAAGGAAUUGACGGGGGCCCGCACAAGCGGUGGAGCAUGUGGUUUAAUUCGACGCAACGCGAAGAACCUUACCUGGGCUUGAACUGUCGGUAUAGGGACCCGAAAGGGCGACGAUCCCGGGCAACCGGGAAGCCGAUAGAGGUGCUGCAUGGCUGUCGUCAGCUCGUGUCGUGAGAUGUUGGGUUAAGUCCCGCAACGAGCGCAACCCUUGUCUUUAGUUGCCAGCGAGUCAUGUCGGGCACUCUAAGGAGACUGCCUCGGAUAACGAGGAGGAAGGUGGGGAUGACGUCAAGUCAGCAUGGCCUUUAUGUCCAGGGCUACACACGUGCUACAAUGGGCGGCACAGAAGGACGCGAGACCGCGAGGUCAAGCCAACCCUUAAAACCG